ensembl:lncRNA
UAAAGAAGCAUCCGUUCUGGAGGUUGUUCGUGAAGCAUCUAAUCCAGUGGGAAUUGCAGUUUAUAUUGUAGGUGGGCGGAAUGGUGAAUAUAGUCAUUGUUGCAUUAUACAUUAAGUACCGCUUGUCGCCACACGAGUGCAGUGUCUACCCAUUAAUGAGCGCCGUCAAGUUUGAUUGGCUGUCACGGCCAAACGGUUUUGAAUUUGAGAAAGCUGUUUAAUACACUUGUUCAGCUUGGUCGGAAGAUCAUAUAUGCCAAGUUUCAUGAAGAUUGGAC